GGGGAAUAUUGCACAAUGGGCGAAAGCCUGAUGCAGCAACGCCGCGUGAGUGAUGAAGGUCUUCGGAUUGUAAAGCUCUGUCUUUUGGGACGAUAAUGACGGUACCAAAGGAGGAAGCCACGGCUAACUACGUGCCAGCAGCCGCGGUAAUACGUAGGUGGCGAGCGUUGUCCGGAUUUACUGGGCGUAAAGGGUGCGUAGGCGGAUGUUUAAGUGAGAUGUGAAAUACCCGGGCUUAACUUGGGUGCUGCAUUUCAAACUGGAUAUCUAGAGUGCAGGAGAGGAGAAUGGAAUUCCUAGUGUAGCGGUGAAAUGCGUAGAGAUUAGGAAGAACACCAGUGGCGAAGGCGAUUCUCUGGACUGUAACUGACGCUGAGGCACGAAAGCGUGGGUAGCAAACAGGAUUAGAUACCCUGGUAGUC
rnacentral:rRNA from 1 species